rnacentral:sRNA from 1 species
GAAGCUUAUGAGGAGUUCAAGCAUGUUCUGGUGGUAUUGAUAUAUGGAAAAGAUGAUCACUCCCUAUCGUCUGUCAGUGCAUGAGUAUUCUAUAAAGAAGAGAUUGAACUUGCUGAAUUGAUUCCAUCCAUAUUAAGGGAUCAUUUGUGAGCUUAUGAUCUUAUUUUACCAAUGACCCUAAGAUACUUAAAAAGCAUUUACAAAGUGCUUUGCUUGCACAAAGGAUUUCUUCGCUUAUAUCUGAUCUAACUGAGCAGCUUCUCUUUGGUGAACACAAUCCACCUGCAGUUCAUCAGUAAUGCUCACUAGAAGCACCUUCUGUUUGAUGAGGUAGAUGUGUAAGCCCUGGUACUUUCUGUGGAGUUGACAAGAUAAGGUGCUGUUGAUAGCUUGAAGUUUGCAAAAGAAGAUUUAUAUCAAGCAUUUCAGGUUGUACUGUAAAUUGGAAAAAAAACUGGAUCUGUCGCUACUUGAUAAACUUGUAGGGAGUACUAUACAUACAGGGGAAUAGUUGAAGGCGGCUGUUGUGUCCUUUUGUCGCAGUGACAGUCUACUUGACAAUUCUCAUCGAUAAAAAAGAAGUCAAUUGUGAAACAUGGAUUAAAUGUGAAAUAACUAACAACCACUAUGGAGAUUGUACUAUUGUAGCAGUAGCGGAAGUAAUCAUCAUGAUUCCCUGUGCCAGGAGGUUACGUAGGGUUAGAAGUAAUACAUCAGGGCAAAGAAGGUGGAAGAGAUGAAGGGGACUGGUAGACAAUGGAAAUACUUGUGAGACCUCAUUGGAUGCAAGUAAACACGGCAUUUUAGUAAAACUGGUAAGAUUUGUUUUUAAUUCUUUACUCCAAGCAUGAAUCCUAGAUUAUUCUGGUUUGCCUGAUGCUGGAAACAAUCACGAUCAGAAAUAACAAGUUAAUUUAGAGAUGAGAGAUUAUCUCACGCGCAGAGGAAUGGCUUCAAAAGUUGUUGAAGAGAAACAGCAUGAAUUCCGAUUUCUUUUCGCAAAACCCUAUUCUUCUGUUUCAGUUCAAACAG